CGUGUAGGCGGUUUCUUAAGUCUGAUGUGAAAGCCCCGGGCUCAACCCGGGAAGUGCAUUGGAUACUGGGAGACUUGAAUACGGGAGAGGGUAGUGGAAUUCCUAGUGUAGGAGUGAAAUCCGUAGAUAUUAGGAGGAACACCGGUGGCGAAGGUGGCUACCUGGACCGAUAUUGACGCUGAGACGCGAAAGCGUGGGGAGCAAACAGGAUUAGAUACCCUGGUAGUCCACGCCGUAAACGAUGAGAACUAGGUGUUGCGGGUAUUGACCCCUGCAGUGCCGCAGCUAACGCAUUAAGUUCUCCGCCUGGGAAGUACGGUCGCAAGACUAAA
rnacentral:rRNA from 1 species